UCAGGCCUAACACAUGCAAGUCGAGCGGCAGCGGGAAAGUAGCUUGCUACUUUUGCCGGCGAGCGGCGGACGGGUGAGUAAUGCCUGGGAAAUUGCCCAGUCGAGGGGGAUAACAGUUGGAAACGACUGCUAAUACCGCAUACGCCCUACGGGGGAAAGCAGGGGACCUUCGGGCCUUGCGCGAUUGGAUAUGCCCAGGUGGGAUUAGCUAGUUGGUGAGGUAAUGGCUCACCAAGGCGACGAUCCCUAGCUGGUCUGAGAGGAUGAUCAGCCACACUGGAACUGAGACACGGUCCAGACUCCUACGGGAGGCAGCAGUGGGGAAUAUUGCACAAUGGGGGAAACCCUGAUGCAGCCAUGCCGCGUGUGUGAAGAAGGCCUUCGGGUUGUAAAGCAAAGCAGCGAGGAGGAAAGGUCAGUAGCUAAUAUCUG
rnacentral:rRNA from 1 species